rnacentral:rRNA from 1 species
GACGAACGCUGGCGGCGUGCUUAACACAUGCAAGUCGAACGGAAAGGCCCUGCUUGCAGGGUACUCGAGUGGCGAACGGGUGAGUAACACGUGGGUGAUCUGCCCUGCACUUCGGGAUAAGCCUGGGAAACUGGGUCUAAUACCGGAUAGGAGCCAUUUUUAGUGUGAUGGUUGGAAAGUUUUUUCGGUGUAGGAUGAGCUCGCGGCCUAUCAGCUUGUUGGUGGCGUAAUGGCCUACCAAGGCGGCGACGGGUAGCCGGCCUGAGAGGGUGGACGGCCACAUUGGGACUGAGAUACGGCCCAGACUCCUACGGGAGGCAGCAGUGGGGAAGAUUGCACAAUGGGCGCAAGCCUGAUGCAGCGACGCCGCGUGGGGGAUGACGGCCUUCGGGUUGUAAACUCCUUUCGCUAGGGACGAAGCUUUUUGUGACGGUACCUAGAGAAGAAGCACCGGCUAACUACGUG